CCUACGGGCGGCAGCAGUGAGGAAUAUUGGUCAAUGGGCGUAAGACUGAACCAGCCAAGUCGCGUGAGGGAUGAAGGUUCUAUGGAUCGUAAACCUCUUUUGUAAGGGAAUAAAGACCGGGACGUGUCCCGGUUUGAAUGUACCUUAUGAAUAAGGAUCGGCUAACUCCGUGCCAGCAGCCGCGGUAAUACGGAGGAUUCGAGCGUUAUCCGGAUUUAUUGGGUUUAAAGGGUGCGUAGGCGGCCUUUUAAGUCAGCGGUGAAAGUCUGUGGCUCAACCAUAGAAUUGCCGUUGAAACUGGGAGUCUUGAGUAUGUGUGAGGCAUGCGGAAUGCGUGGUGUAGCGGUGAAAUGCAUAGAUAUCACGCAGAACCCCGAUUGCGAAGGCAGCCUGCCAAGUCAUGACUGACGCUGAUGCACGAAAGCGUGGGGAUCAAACAGGAUUAGAUACCCUAGUAGUC
rnacentral:rRNA from 1 species